rnacentral:misc_RNA from 1 species
AAGUCGUAACAAGGUUUCCGUAGGUGAACCUGCGGAAGGAUCAUUACUUGGCCUUGGGCCGCUCACGGGAGACCGUGGGUGCUUAGCCCUUGAUCACUACCUUGACUAUGCGCACCUUUGUUGUUCCCUCGGCAGGAUGCUCUGCGUACUGCCGCGAGGAACCCCUUAAACCUUUUGCAAUCAGCAUUAAACUUCUGAAAACAAACCUAAUUAUUUACAACUUUUAACAAUGGAUCUCUUGGUUCUG